rnacentral:lncRNA from 1 species
CACCAGAAAGAUUUGAAGGACAUUACGAACAGAAAUCGAGAGGCCAAGCCGUUCGCCGAGGGCUAUUACACAGCUAUUCACAACACUGCGACGGCCGAACCCUUGCCGUCCGACGACUCCUGCGGCGUUUCUGAAGAGACUCUGCUGAAAUGCCAGGUAACCAAAUCAGUCAUCUUGCAUCAUUAUAGCACUCUUUAAACAGAAAGCGAGAUGCGCAUUAAACAUGGUGGCGUGCUAAUCAUCUCAUUCUCAAUUUUCUUUUCCCGAAGAAUCGGAUCUUGGGCGUUCAUCUUGUCAUUAUUUUCAUAUUUCCAGGUUCCUGGACAUGUUUUCCCCUAGAAAAAAAGAAAAAAUGUAGGAAGAGAAGACUUAUUCCGGGGGGGAAGAAAUGGAUAUAGAUACCCUUGAAAUUCUGACCCUCUCUCCCUGGUGGUUGGUCCUAGACGCCCUAAUAAUAGACGACUGCAUCUUCUUCUUGGUCACAAAAGGAUGACUGUCUUUUUAACUGGGCUUACCUACAAUCAACAGGCCGACUGCCGCGACGCCAUAGCCCUUCAACUCCUGCUGAAGCUGAAGAGGCACCUCAAAGUGGUCUUCUCUCUAGAUAACGCCCGCUGUCAGGUACGCGCCGCCC